GUUUAGACACAAACCACCCUGCAGGACGCGUCGCGUUAAUAUUAAAGGUUUAUCCCAGAGUUGAAACACAAUCGACAGACCGUCGAGGGGCUACAAACACAAACAAACAAACAAACAAACAAACAUUUGAAGCCUUUUUUUAGUCUUAAUCCGUUUAAAACGGACGAAGAAGAAAAUCCCUCACAGAACGGAGCCGUGACCGGAAACGUCCGCAGUUAUCAGAGCGCAGAGUUUAUGCAGGUGGAGUGGACGUCACCGUGACGUCACCGCGAGAGACUUCUUUGCUUCUUCGAGGUGGAGUUUAAUAAAGUCAUUCACACAUACGUCACACAUACGUCACACAGCGGACGGACAGACAAUACGAGAGAACAAAACAUGAAAGAAAAUAAAAAUAAAAACACGUCAUGGUUUCAUUCACACACCCGAAAAAGAAGUAAUUUAUUUAAUCCCUCCUCUAAUCCCAAAGUUAAUAAUAAUAAUAGUGUAUCGUCAACAUAAAGUUCUUAUAUUGGUCCGUAUUCUGGUCUGUGUUGAGACCAAAGGAAAAAAAAA